AGAGUUUGAUCCUGGCUCAGGAUGAACGCUAGCUACAGGCUUAACACAUGCAAGUCGAGGGGCAGCAUUUUAGUUUGCUUGCAAACUAAAGAUGGCGACCGGCGCACGGGUGAGUAACACGUAUCCAACCUGCCGAUAACUCGGGGAUAGCCUUUCGAAAGAAAGAUUAAUAUCCGAUAGUAUAUUAAAACCGCAUGGUUUUACUAUUAAAGAAUUUCGGUUAUCGAUGGGGAUGCGUUCCAUUAGUUUGUUGGCGGGGUAACGGCCCACCAAGACUACGAUGGAUAGGGGUUCUGAGAGGAAGGUCCCCCACAUUGGAACUGAGACACGGUCCAAACUCCUACGGGAGGCAGCAGUGAGGAAUAUUGGUCAAUGGACGAGAGUCUGAACCAGCCAAGUAGCGUGAAGGAUGACUGCCCUAUGGGUUGUAAACUUCUUUUAUAUGGGAAUAAAGUAUUCCACGUGUGGGAUUUUGUAUGUACCAUAUGAAUAAGGAUCGGCUAACUCCGUGCCAGCAGCCGCGGUAAUACGGAGGAUCCGAGCGUUAUCCGGAUUUAUUGGGUUUAAAGGGAGCGUAGGUGGAUUGUUAAGUCAGUUGUGAAAGUUUGCGGCUCAACCGUAAAAUUGCAGUUGAAACUGGCAGUCUUGAGUACAGUAGAGGUGGGCGGAAUUCGUGGUGUAGCGGUGAAAUGCUUAGAUAUCACGAAGAACUCCGAUUGCGAAGGCAGCUCACUAGACUGCAACUGACACUGAUGCUCGAAAGUGUGGGUAUCAAACAGGAUUAGAUACCCUGGUAGUCCACACAGUAAACGAUGAAUACUCGCUGUUUGCGAUAUACAGUAAGCGGCCAAGCGAAAGCAUUAAGUAUUCCACCUGGGGAGUACGCCGGCAACGGUGAAACUCAAAGGAAUUGACGGGGGCCCGCACAAGCGGAGGAACAUGUGGUUUAAUUCGAUGAUACGCGAGGA
rnacentral:rRNA from 1 species